CCUACGGGUGGCAGCAGUGGGGAAUAUUGGGCAAUGGGCGCAAGCCUGACCCAGCAACGCCGCGUGAAGGAAGAAGGCUUUCUGGUUGUAAACUUCUUUUCUCAGGGACGAAGAAAGUGACGGUACCUGAUGAAUAAGCCACGGCUAACUACGUGCCAGCAGCCGCGGUAAUACGGAGGUGGCAAGCGUUAUCAGGAUGUAUUGGGUGUAAAGGGCGUGUAGGCGGGAGCGCAAGUCAGAUGUGAAAACUCAGGGCUCAACCCUGAGCCUGCAUUUGAAACUGUGUUUCUUGAGUGCUGGGGAGGCAAUCGGAAUUCCGUGUGUAGCGGUGAAAUGCGUAGAUAUACGGAGGAACACCAGUGGCGAAGGCGGAUUGCUGGACAGUAACUGACGCUGAGGCGCGAAAGCGUGGGGAUCGAACAGGAUUAGAUACCCGUGUAGUC
rnacentral:rRNA from 1 species